rnacentral:rRNA from 1 species
CAGUCGCCACGGUAAUACGUAGGGUGCAAGCGUUAAUCGGAAUUACUGGGCGUAAAGCGUGCGCAGGCGGUUAUGCAAGACAGAGGUGAAAUCCCCGGGCUCAACCUGGGAACUGCCUUUGUGACUGCAUAGCUAGAGUGCGGCAGAGGGGGAUGGAAUUCCGCGUGUAGCAGUGAAAUGCGUAGAUAUGCGGAGGAACACCGAUGGCGAAGGCAAUCCCCUGGGCCAAUACUGACGCUCAUGCACGAAAGCGUGGGGAGCAAACAGGAUUAGAUACCCGCGUAGUCCCUGUCUCUUAUAC